CGGUCCAUAGUCUAAUGGUUAGGAUACGAGGUCUUCGUCCUCGAGGUAGCGGUUCGAUUCCACUUGGACCAG